rfam:Cricetulus griseus cell line CHO-K1, whole genome shotgun sequence.
CUAAAGGCUCUUUUAAGAGCCAACUCAGUUAUCCCAGAAGAUGCUGU